GCAGCUACCAAUUACAACCCGCUCAUCCCUUCACCAUUCAGACCUCAGGGGUUCAGGAGUCAAAUUAGAGAUCGACAUUAUCCGAAAGAGCCACAGUUGUGUGCAUUCAUUGUUUCAAUUACUAUAGUGCUGUAUAAUCAUAUUUAAACAGUAUGAUGGAAAAUAUGUAGUUUAUAUGUAUGUAUAUACAUAUAAUGUCAGCGAACCAGCUGAGCGGCGAACAGCAGAGGCUAACAGCAGGAGUUUGCCUGGGAGCUGUCCAAGAGGAGGUACGCUAAGUGCUGCAUUAGGGGGGCUGUGUUGGUGAGUAUCUGAGUGCCUGCUGCUGGGACAGUUGGUCAGUUUGACCGUGUGCUUGAUUGCUUGCUUGCUUGUUUGUUUGAAAAGUGUGAAUUGGGAGUGCUUUGUUCCAGGUGGGCCUUGAGUGGGCCUGACUGGUAUAUAAGGGCAGUCAGCAGCGAACCAGCUGAGCGGCGAACAGCAGGAGUUUGCCUGGGAGCUGUCCAAGAGGAGGUACGCUAAGUGCUGCAUUAGGGGGGCUGUGUUGGUGAGUAUCUGAGUGCCUGCUGCUGGGACAGUUGGUCAGUUUGACCGUGUGCUUGAUUGCUUGCUUGUUUGUUUGAAAAGUGAAUUGGGAGUGCUUUGUUCCAGCUGGGCCUUGAGUGGGCCUGACUGGUAUAUAAGGGCAGUCAGCAGCGAACCAGCUGAGCGGUGAACAGCAGAGGCUAACAGCAGGAGUUUGCCUGGGAGUUCACGUGGGGAGAGCACACUGAGGCUUUCAUCUGCAGGUUUCUCCGAGUAGUUCCUGCAACAGUUGAGGAAGCUCCUAAGAGGACGGUGAUAUGGAAGGUGAGCGAUCAGCUGUUGUAACCUGCACAGGUUAUGUCAUGUUUGUCUUUCUUCCGCAGGACAGAAGUGACUUUGUCUGUACAAAGUGCAAGCUGGUCUCCAUAUUGGAGGAGAAGGUUCGAGGGCUGGAGAAACAAGUAUCGACUCUGCGUUGCAUAAGGGAAAAUGAAGAUUUCCUGGACAGACGUCAGGAGAUGCUUCUACGGCCACAAUGUUCUGAAGAUUCAGAGCAGGCGCAGCAGGGACAGAAGGAUUGUGAGGAGGUUUGGCAGCAUGUGACCUCCAGAAGAAGAAAGAGGAGCGUCCAUGCACCAGCAAUGGAGAUACAGGUGAGCAAUCGUUUCCAUGUUCUCUCUACAGGUGCUAAUGCGGAGAGUGGACUAGAUGGCCCAUCUGAGGGAAGGGAGCAGAAGGAGACUCCACCGAUUGGAAGGCAAAAGAUGCACUGUCCUAGGGAUGGGGGUUCCACGACCACCACUCCCAAGAGGAGGAGGAGGGUGGUGGUGGUCGGGGACUCCCUCCUCAGGGGGACUGAGUCAUCUAUCUGCCGCCCUGACCGGGAAAACCGAGAGGUCUGCUGCUUGCCAGGAGCUAGGAUACACGAUGUGACGGAGAGACUGCCGAGACUCAUCAAGCCCUCGGAUCGCUACCCCUUCCUGCUUCUCCACGUGGGCACCAAUGAUACUGCCAAGAAUGACCUUGAGCGGAUCACUGCAGACUACGUGGCUCUGGGAAGAAGGAUAAAGGAGUUUGAGGCGCAAGUGGUGUUCUCGUCCAUCCUCCCUGUGCAAGGGAAAGGCCGGGGUAGAGACCGUCGAAUUGUGGAAGUCAACGAAUGGCUACGCAGGUGGUGUCGGAGAGAAGGCUUUGGAUUCUUCGACCAUGGGAUGGUGUUCCAAGAAGGAGUGCUAGGCAGAGACGGGCUCCACCUAACGAAGAGAGGGAAGAGCAUCUUCGCCAGCAGGCUGGCUAACCUAGUGAGGAGGGCUUUAAACUAGGUUCACCGGGGGAAGGAGACCAAAGCCCUGAGAAUACAAAGUGUACAGCUGAGCGGCGAACAGCAGAGGCUAACAGCGGGAGUUUGCCUGGGAGCUGUCCGAGAGGAGGUACGCUAAGUGCUGCAUUAGGGGGGCUGUGUUGGUGAGUAUCUGAGUGUCUGCUGCUGGGACAGUUGGUCAGUUUGACCGUGUGCUUGAUUGCUUGCUUGUUUGUUUGAAAAGUGUGAAUUGGGAGUGCUUUGUUCCAGCUGGGCCUUGAGUGGGCCUGACUGGUAUAUAAGGGCAGUCAGCAGCGAACCAGCUGAGCGGCGAACAGCAGAGGCUAACAGCGGGAGUUUGCCUAGGGAGAGCGCACUGAGGCUUUCAUCUGCAGGUUUCUCCGAGUAGUUCCUGCAACAGUUGAGGAAGUUCUUAAGAGGACGGAGAUAUGGAAGGUGAGCGAUCAGCUGUUGUAACCUGCACAGGUUGUGCCAUGUUUGUCUUUCUUCCGCAGGACAGAAGCGACUUUGUCUGCACAAAGUGCAAGCUGGUCUCCAUAUUGGAGGAGAAGGUUCGAGGGCUGGAGAAACAAGUAUCAACUCUGCGUUGCAUAAGGGAAAAUGAAGAUUUCCUGGACAGACGUCAGGAGAUGCUUCUACGGCCACAAUGUUCUGAAGAUUCAGAGCAGGUGCAGCAGGGACAGAAGGAUUGUGAGGAGGUUUGGCAGCAUGUGACCUCCAGAAGAAGAAAGAGGAGCGUCCAUGCACCAGCAAUGGAGAUACAGAUGCACAGAGAUGGUGGAGUGCUAUGCUGAAGGAAGGAGGGCACAAGAGACAUAACAGAAAGGCAGGAGAAAAGGUGAGAGGGAAUAACAGAAAGCAGCAGGAGCUGCAGGGAGAGAGGAGGAGGAGGAGCCUCUUAUGACCUCUCUAGCAUCCCCAGGAGCCUGGACUGAUUAACACCAGCUUCUCAGGGAGCUUCCUGUUUCCUGCUGCUUCCCUGAACCCACUUGAGGAGAACAGGCAGUCAACUGAAGUAGUAGGAACCAGUUAGGCUUUUAAGACGCUGAUAUCUUCCCUCACUCAGGCCCUGCUACCAGCCUGCUUAUUUGUCCCCUUCAAUUGAGUGUUGAGAGCCAAUAUAGCUGGCACAGAACAGCAGUCAUGAGUGAAAGAAGAAAACGCCCCCCUGGUGCAGCAUUCAGAAAAAGAAAGAAAGCAAAGGAAGCUUUUCUAUCUAAGCAGGAAGGAGCUCUCCUGAGAUACAUAGAUACAAAUGUUCACGGUGAGCGUUCCGGCCCCAGUGAGGAUGUGAGUGGUGAGGAGAUGCCUGAUCUUCCAAUUAGUCAGAGUGCAGGUGACCUGGCAGCUACUGCAGCAUCCAUAUCUCCAUCUCAAAUGGAUGUAACCAUGCACAUUCUGAAGAAAAGCGUAGAUCAGAGAAGAGUGUGGUGGAGGCGCAAGAAACAGCUGCUGCUGAGUUUAGUUCCUUAAGACUAGAUGAUCCAGGACAGUGGACCCACUUGAGCAGUAGCCUGAGGGACUUCCUUGUACUGCAUGGGCCACAGCAAGUGAAAAACUUCAUGUUCCCCAAAGACAAUGAAAAUAGAAGUUUCCAUCCAACAUAUUACUGGCGUGAAAUCCCCAAUGGUGACAAAGAGAAGAGGCCAUGGCUUAUGUACUCAAAAACCCAGAAUGCUGCAUACUGUUUUUGUUGCAAACUCUUCCAGUCUAAUGUUCCAGCCACAUUGGGUUCUACAGGAACAAAGGACUGGAAAAAUCUGGCUAGAAAUCUGGCAUGUCAUGAGAAGGCAGCAAAUCACCAGAGAGGUGGAAAGAGCUUGAGAUGAGACUAAGGUUAAAGGCCACCAUAGAUGAUCAACAUCAAGAGAAGAUUGCAUCAGAGUCUCUUUACUGGUAAAAUGUUCUGAAAAGGCUCAUUGCCAUUGUGAGAAUGCUUGCUACCCAAAACCUAGCACUUCGUGGCACUUCAGAUCAGCUGUAUGUGCCAAACAAUGGAAACUUCCUUAAAAUUGUGGAGCUGAUGGCUGAGUUUGAUGCUGUACUCCAGGAGCAUCUAAGAAGAGUCACCACCCAAGAAAUGUACACACACCACUACCUUUGAAAAACAAUUCAAAAUGAGAUCAUACAGUUACUAGCAACAAAAGUCAAACAGAAGAUUGUGGCAGAUCUGAAGUCAGCAAGAUAUUACUCUGUUAUUCUGGACUGCACACCAGACAUCAGCCAUACGGAACAAAUGACUUUAAUGGUGCGUUUUGUAACAACAACAGAAUCUAGUGAAAAUGUCCCUGCAAUAGUGACUAUCAGAGAGCAUUUUCUAGAAUUUAUUGACAUUGAUGAUACUACAGGAGCUGCUAUGACAAAUGUGCUUCUUAAAAAGCUGGUGGUAGAAUGUGCAUUUGGCCGUUUAAAAGGUCGCUGGCGAUUGUUACUGACUCGCUCAGACCUCAGCCAAACCAAUAUCCCCAUUGUUAUUGCUGCUUGCUGUGUGCUCCACAAUCUCUGUGAAAGUAAGGGGGAGAUCUUUAUGGUGGGGUGGGAGGCUGAGGCAAAUCGCCUGGCUGCUAAUAAUGCGCAGCCAGACACCAGGGCGAUUAGAAGAGCACACCAGGAAGCGCUGUGCAUCAGAGAAGCUUUGAAAACCAGACUGGCCAGGCUACAGUGUGAAAUUUCUGUUUGUUUCUCCUUCAUGAAAACCCGCCCCCUUUAUUGACUCAUUCUCUGUAAGGAACCCACCCUCCCCCUUCUCCCAGCUUGCUUUCAAAGGAAA